CCUACGGGAGGCAGCAGUGAGGAAUAUUGGUCAAUGGGCGUAAGCCUGAACCAGCCAAGCCGCGUGAGGGAUGAAGGUUCUAUGGAUCGUAAACCUCUUUUAUAAGGGAAUAAAGUGUGGGACGUGUCCUAUUUUGUAUGUACCUUAUGAAUAAGGAACGGCUAACUCCGUGCCAGCAGCCGCGGUAAUACGGAGGAUCCGAGCGUUAUCCGGAUUUAUUGGGUUUAAAGGGUGCGUAGGCGGCCUUUUAAGUCAGCGGUGAAAGUCUGUGGCUCAACCAUAGAAUUGCCGUUGAUACUGGGAGGCUUGAGUAUGUUAGAGGCAGGCGGAAUGCGUGGUGUAGCGGUGAAAUGCUUAGAGAUCACGCAGAACCCCGAUUGCGAAGGCAGCCUGCCAAGCCAUGACUGACGCUGAUGCACGAAAGCGUGGGGAUCAAACAGGAUUAGAUACCCCUGUAGUC
rnacentral:rRNA from 1 species